rnacentral:rRNA from 1 species
ACAGCAGCCGCCGCGGUAAUGCGAAGGGGGCUAGCGUUGUUCGGAUUUACUGGGCGUAAAGGGCGCGUAGGCGGGCGAAUAAGUCAGGGGUGAAAUCCCAAGGCUCAACCUUGGAACUGCCUUUGAUACUGUUUGUCUUGAGUUCGAGAGAGGUAAGUGGAACUGCGAGUGUAGAGGUGAAAUUCGUAGAUAUUCGCAAGAACACCAGUGGCGAAGGCGGCUUACUGGCUCGAAACUGACGCUGAGGCGCGAAAGCGUGGGGAGCAAACAGGAUUAGAUACCCGCGUAGUCCCUGUCUCUUAUAC